ACGCAACUCAACACCCAACCACAAAAAACUCCAAACCAAGAAUAACCCCACCCGUCUUUUACCAGCAGCGCCAACAAAAUUUGUCGGAGCCAACAAAAAAUGUCGAUGCCAACACCCACCGGAGAUCAAUAAAUUUUUGGUGAAGCUAAGUGGUCAAAAACUUUGGAGAAGUGUAGUAGGGAUUUUGGCUUCAUCUAUGAUUGAUUUCUACAUCAACAGAUUGCCAUCUAACCUUUCUAAAGGGAGAAAUUCUUGUUUGGAUUAUGGUUUGAAGGAGGUAGGGAUGGCAAAUUGGCUCAUUGGCUUGAGUCGAGCCGUGGCUCGACCUGGAAAAAGGAGUAAGCCGACUCGGCUCAGUGAAAUCGAGCCUAUGCUCGAGCGAGCCCCAUCUUGGGGUGUCAGGGCGAGCCCGAGCUAGCCCGUGUGGCUCGUGGGCAGGGUCGAGGAAAAAAUUAUAGCAGCUGGCUGCUGCUUUCAUGAAAAAAAUAUAAAAAAUAAACCGAGCCAAAAGCUCGGGCUGAACCUCAUUUUUUUGAUCAAGCUUUUGCUUGGCUCGACUCCGACCAAAAAAUGCUUGACUCAAAAAAGCUCGAAUAGAGCCCGAGUCUCGAGUUUCAGCUCGACUCGACUCGUUGACACUCUUUGGAAGGGGGCUAAAAUCACUAUGGCUUCUUAUUGUUUAGAACUCCAACUCUUGGAAAUCUAGUCACCAACCUAUCCAUUGAUGCAAUAACUCAGGCAAGUCCUUCUUGAGCAUGGGGCAGAGGUUGAUGACAGAUGGUUGACGGAGAUUGGUAGAUAGAUGGGUUUCAGAGUGGCAGUGGGUGACGGAGGCAAUGAUCGAUGACAGCGGUCUACGGAGAUCGGUAGACAGAUGGGUUUUAGAGUGGCAGUGGGUGACGAUGGCCAGUGGCGAUGGGUUGGGGGAUGUUGAAGAUCUACAUUUAUUUAUUUAUUUAUUUAUUUGCUUUUUCUAAUUUCAUUUUUAUCUUAUUUGAAUGUAGUAAAUGGAAAGUUACUAUUUUACCCUUUUAAAAUGGUCAAAAUCAAAUUUCUUAGUUAACUAACAGACAUUUGAAUGAAAAAUGUUCAAAAGGGCCUUUGCCACAACAUUUUAAAAGGUUUGGAAUGGCAGUUACAAUAAAUUAAAG
rnacentral:lncRNA from 1 species